UUUGAAAUGUUUGGAGUAGGAAUUGAAGUUUGCUGUAUGUCUUACAAAUCUAUUUACAAAAGUGCUUUUUCUGUUGCUGUGAUAAAACACAAUGUCUAAGGCAGCUUAUAAAAGAGAUUAAUUUGGCUUAUGGUUCCAGAAAGGUAUGGGAUCACCAUGACAGUCAUGAAAUGUCACACAUGGCAGCUAAAGCAGGGUGAUCAGAGCUCACAUCCUCAUCCUAAAGCAUGAAGCAGAGAGUGUACACUAGAAAUGGUGUAUAGAUGUAAAUUCUCAAACCUACCCCAAGUGACAUAUUGCCUCCAACAGGACAGCAUUUUUUUAAGUCUUCCAGAAGGAUACUACCAGCUGAGGAUUGUACUUCAACCGUACACACUUGCUUUCUGUUACAUGAACCAAUUUAUGGUGAAGAAAAGCUUUAGCUGGGGACCGAACCCAGGGCCUUGUGCUUGCUAGGCAAGUGCUCUACCACUAAGCUAAAUCCCCAACCCGCCCUGUAAACAUUUUAAAGCCUUUAUAUAUCAUCUUGAUGCCAGGAAAUAGGAAAGAAUUCAUACAAGAGAAACAUCUUAUUCAUGUAAAUGACUUGAUAAAGCCUUUACUGUGAUUAUAUCACAGGUGUCUUCAGUUUCAGGGAAAAAUACCAUUCAUUUCUUUUUCAUCAUAACCUUGCAGCAAGGAAAUCAUUUACCAUGCUCACUCAAAUGUAGUUGAAGAGAUCACCGAUUGUGGUUGUGGUUUCUAUUUAGAACCAUUUGGAGUAGGUAUUGAAGUUUGCUGUAUGUGUUGCAAAUCCAUUUACAGAAGUUUAUUGGACUGUUCUUAUAGCUCUUCUGUGGCUCCUGUUCAUCUUCUUUUGCAUUGUCACUUGGUGAUAGUUAUCCUUCUGCCAAAAUGUAUAGAAUGACAUACCCCUCAUCUUAAAUGACCCAUUGCUUAUUUAAACUUCAGGCAGUAUGUGAUCACACUUUUUUAGUAGAUGUACCUGUGAAAGGGUGGUGGGUGGUGGUUCCUUGUUUUGUUUUGAAUUUUCACAUAUUCUCUUCACAUAUUGUGCUUUGUUAUCUAG
ensembl:lncRNA